rnacentral:rRNA from 1 species
UAGGGAGUCUUCCACAAUGGGCGCAAGCCUGAUGGAGCAACACCGCGUGAGUGAAGAAGGGUUUCGGCUCGUAAAGCUCUGUUGUUAAAGAAGAACACGUAUGAGAGUAACUGUUCAUACGUUGACGGUAUUUAACCAGAAAGUCACGGCUAACUACGUGCCAG